rnacentral:lncRNA from 1 species
GGGUUGUCCUAUGCUAUCAGGUGUUAUAUCUUCGUUCUCCGGUGGUUUACAAGGUUUUGCCCAUAACAAAAAAUGAAGCUUAGGGUAUAAGCUAUCAUUUGAUAUGCGAAUGGUUUUUAUUGGAUAUACCGGCCAAUUUUACCCAUCAUCCUUU